AGAGCUGAAAACAAAACCGCAAGCGCCAAGCACGUCAGUCAUAUUAUUCCAAUCAUAUACCUAACCUAACCUUACAGUCGUCCAUCAAAGGUGGACAGGAAACCAAAUCAAAAAAGUUGUCUCUCUUCUGAUAUAAAUUACUGUUUAGUCAGUCAUACAUAUGCCGAAUUAAGCAGUGGAGCACAGGUAAUCCAAAAACAUCUUGUGUUUUAUUCUUCCAGACAUGCGCAUUAGCUGAUGAGCAAGAAUGUGAAAAUUUGCCAGAUUUGAAACGGAGUUUCGUCCAGCUUUCACUCACCCGUAUUCUCCUCAUCGCAGCCACAAUCUCCACUCGGCUGCUCGGCCGCGCGACAUCCAGGCUGCCGAUGUACUGUUGUCCGGAGGAUACAAUAUGACAGCUGCUUGAAUUUACCUUUGCCUCGAAGUUGAUCCCAUGCUGGAACGCUUCCUCGUUGUGCAACGGGAUCCUCAAAUCGUGCCCAUCAUCAACGAGGUUGUAUUUGGUUUUUCCAGGCAUUUUCAGUGCGUGACUACUACUCCGCACUGCCAGAGAAGAAUAUCAACGGGAAAACGAAACAGGUCAGUUGAACAGGCAAAGUAAUCCAAGAAGAAACAAUCCCAAAUCCGGUUUAGUACAUGUUCUCCAUCACAGCGAAGCGUCCUGGCAUUGCAGUGUUCCUACACCGCCCUCAACAGCGGCCAAGUGGCGGCAACUACUCCACCGGCGAUCCGGUGAGCGAAAAAAAAAAAAAAAUCACGUUAACGGCUUUAAAAACACACGUAGGCCACCAGGAACAGCGACAUGCGGUGCCAGAUGUGUUUCCCGACUUUUCCCGUGGUGAGUGUGGAAGUUGGUUGGGUCCUGCCUCCUGCCCUGGACUCUCCCCCUCUCGGCACGGAGGGAGGGUGUGAUUGGACGAGUCCGGGGACCCCACCUGUUUCCAUUGGAACAGAGGCGCACCGUGGCUCCGCGGAGGAGGGGCUCAGAGUCUGGUACCUGCCCCCCUCUCCUCCCUCUUACCCUCCACACACACAACACACACGGGAGUGGUGUGUCUUCCUGUAUUUACACACUACAACUCUGUAAAGGUUGUCUUUGUUAUGAACAGAUGUGAUAUAAUAACUUGCAGAUUGUUCGACGCAGAGUUGCACGUUAAGAAAAUAAAUCACCUGAUGGCUAAU